rnacentral:lncRNA from 1 species
UUUAAAUUGAAGAAUGGAUGAUCAGUGCAAGAAUUACGACGAUAAUGACGUAUAUUCCACAUAAAAGGCACUCGAUAAAUCAAUUCCUUAAUUAUUUAUAGACCCAUGCAAGAAUGAAUAUUUCCUUUGAUACUAUGAUGUUUCUGAAUUAGGUCUAUAUGUAUAUUCAGCUAAUAGGAGAACUCUGAGUCACUCGUUUAUGCUGAAAAUAGUGCAUACAAAUGUUCUUGAUGAAUGUACAAUCUAUACACCUUCAUCUGGGAUACGCGAGUUAUAAUUAUAAUCAAUUUGAAACAGAUACAAAAUUUCAAUCUCAUGCUUAAUUAAAAAAAAAUUAGAUAAUUUGUUAGUACCUACUUAUAUUUGCUUCAAAGGUUUAUGAAAGUUAUAAAUAAUUACAUUUUUAUAAAGAAUAAAAGUAGCAAGAAUUUAGUGUCAUUUCACGAAUUUAAAGAAUUUGUGGGAAUGAAUCAAAGUCUAACUGUCAAAACACGGCUAGGUGGAUACAUUUCGAUCCAUCAUUUAUGAUCAUAAACGUAUAUUUUCAUACGCAUCGUGCCAAUGAUAAAAAUCUAAAUUAUGGCCGACAUACGAAGUCAGUUUCAAUGUUGAAAGUCUCAAUUUACGAUUGCGAAAGUGGUUCGAUUUUUUAGUCGAUCACAGUUUUGAAGCAUUAAUAUUUUUUAUUCAACCCCCAUUUUCCUUCAAACAUAUGCAGAUAAGUGAAUCUAUAAAAAUUAUUAUUCUGUUCAUUGAAUUUUUGAACACUUGAACUUAAGGUGUUUGAGACUUUAGAAUAUUAAAAUGUAUGAAUUGGAGGACUUUAAGACUUUUAGGAGUUUUUGCAUUUUAAGACUAAAAUUUUGGAAUUGUGGGAUUUUUAAAUAUAACGCAUAAUAAGCGAUUUGGUCACAAGAAUGACCGUUUUUAAAAGUAGGUAUCGGUCCAUAAAAGUUUGAGAAGUCCUGGGUGUAUACGAAUAAGCUGCUUUCUAUAAUUGGGAGUGCACGGGGCGACGACGUAGCUCGAGCCACCACCGAUCCCCUCCACAUUUUCGCUAGAGCCACGGUUGAACCAUCGGACCAAAUCGCAGAUUCGCAUUGCUGAGUAUCAACCCCGAAACGGCACGUCUAUAUUGCAAAGAAGCUUCCACAUGGAAUUCCGUAUACAUGUACGUGGUAGUGGAUUUUACGAAAAGUUCGCAAGUGCAGCAGGAUGACAAGAUAUGGAACAAUCACAGCUAUUGAAAUUUGAGGGAAUCAAACAAAUCAAACACUCAAGAUCUGGACUACACUAAAGGAACAAGCCAACAGUAUACAGGGAUCUGUUCCUGAAUGAGGGUGCAUCUAUACUUGCUAAAUUCGAAGGAGCCAAAUUGGAUAUUCCCGGUAAUUUUGGUAGAAGGAAUGACUUAUCCCCACGUAUGAUUCAACUCCCAUGCAUGGUAGAUGAUGCAUACUACCCCCUUCAAAAUAUGUAUAUGUCAUGUAUAUACAAAGUACGAGUGCCAUUAGAGUGAUUUUUAUACAAGAAUUUAAUAAAAUGUAUCCUACAAAU